GGAAUAACUAUUGGAAACGAUAGCUAAUACCGCAUAACGGUAGAUGUUGCAUGACAUUUGCUUAAAAGGUGCAAUUGCAUCACUACCAGAUGGACCUGCGUUGUAUUAGCUAGUUGGUGGGCUAACGGUUCACCAAGGCGACGAUACAUAGCCGACCUGAGAGGGUGAUCGGCCACACUGGGACUGAGACACGGCCCAGACUCCUACGGGAGGCAGCAGUAGGGAAUCUUCGGCAAUGGACGGAAGUCUGACCGAGCAACGCCGCGUGAGUGAAGAAGGUUUUCGGAUCGUAAAGCUCUGUUGUAAGAGAAGAACGAGUGUGAGAGUGGAAAGUUCGCACUGUGACGGUAUCUUACCAGAAAGGGACGGCUAACUACGUGCCAGCAGCCGCGGUAAUACGUAGGUCCCGAGCGUUGUCCGGAUUUAUUGGGCGUAAAGCGAGCGCAGGCGGUUAGAUAAGUCUGAAGUUAAAGGCUGUGGCUUAACCAUAGUACGCUUUGGAAACUGUUUAACUUGAGUGCAAGAGGGGAGAGUGGAAUUCCAUGUGUAGCGGUGAAAUGCGUAGAUAUAUGGAGGA
rnacentral:rRNA from 1 species